GAUGAAUGCUAGCGGCAGGCUUAACACAUGCAAGUCGAGGGGUAUAGGUUUUCGGACCUAGAGACCGGCGCACGGGUGCGUAACGCGUAUGCCAUCUGCCUUUUACAGAGGGAUAGCCCAGAGAAAUUUGGAUUAAUACCUCAUAGUAUUAUUGAAUGGCAUCAUUUAAUAAUUAAAGUUCCAACGGUAAAAGAUGAGCAUGCGUCCCAUUAGCUAGAUGGUAAGGUAACGGCUUACCAUGGCGACGAUGGGUAGGGGUCCUGAGAUGGAGCUCCCCCACACUGGUACUGAGACACGGACCAGAAUCCGACUGGAGGCAGCAGUGUGGAAUAUUGGUCAAUGGGCGCAAGCUUGAACCAGCCAGGCCGCGUGCAGGAUGACGGUCCUAUGGAUUGUAAUCUGCUUUUGUACAGGAAGAAACAGUUCUACGUGUAGAACCUUGACGGUACUGUAAGAAUAAGGAUCGGCUAACUCCGUGCCAGCAGCCGCAGUAACAC
rnacentral:rRNA from 1 species